rnacentral:rRNA from 1 species
AGAGUUUGAUUCUGGCUCAGGACGAACGCUGGCGGCGUGCUUAACACAUGCAAGUCGAACGGAAAGGCCCUGCUUUUGUGGGGUGCUCGAGUGGCGAACGGGUGAGUAACACGUGAGUAACCUGCCCUUGACUUUGGGAUAACUUCAGGAAACUGGGGCUAAUACCGGAUAGGAGCUCCUGCUGCAUGGUGGGGGUUGGAAAGUUUCGGCGGUUGGGGAUGGACUCGCGGCUUAUCAGCUUGUUGGUGGGGUAGUGGCUUACCAAGGCUUUGACGGGUAGCCGGCCUGAGAGGGUGACCGGCCACAUUGGGACUGAGAUACGGCCCAGACUCCUACGGGAGGCAGCAGUGGGGAAUAUUGCACAAUGGGCGGAAGCCUGAUGCAGCGACGCCGCGUGAGGGAUGACGGCCUUCGGGUUGUAAACCUCUUUCAGCAGGGACGAAGCGUAAGUGACGGUACCUGCAGAAGAAGCACCGGCUAACUAUGUGCCAGCAGCCGCGGUAAUACGUAGGGUGCGAGCGUUGUCCGGAAUUACUGGGCGUAAAGAGCUCGUAGGCGGUUUGUCACGUCGUCUGUGAAAUCCUAGGGCUUAACCCUGGACGUGCAGGCGAUACGGGCUGACUUGAGUACUACAGGGGAGACUGGAAUUUCUGGUGUAGCGGUGGAAUGCACAGAUAUCAGGAAGAACACCGAUGGCGAAGGCAGGUCUCUGGGUAGUAACUGACGCUGAGGAGCGAAAGCAUGGGUAGCGAACAGGAUUAGAUACCCUGGUAGUCCAUGCCGUAAACGGUGGGCGCUAGGUGUGGGGUUCCUUCCACGGGCUCCGCGCCGUAGCUAACGCAUUAAGCGCCCCGCCUGGGGAGUACGGCCGCAAGGCUAAAACUCAAAGAAAUUGACGGGGGCCCGCACAAGCGGCGGAGCAUGUGGAUUAAUUCGAUGCAACGCGAAGAACCUUACCUGGGCUUGACAUAUAGAGGAUCGCUACAGAGAUGUGGUUUCCCUUGUGGCUUCUAUACAGGUGGUGCAUGGUUGUCGUCAGCUCGUGUCGUGAGAUGUUGGGUUAAGUCCCGCAACGAGCGCAACCCUU